AUUGAACGCUGGCGGCAGGCCUAACACAUGCAAGUCGAACGGUAACAGGGAUCAGCUUGCUGAUUCGCUGACGAGUGACGGACGGGUGAGUAAUGUCUGGGAAACUGCCUGAUGGAGGGGGAUAACUACUGGAAACGGUAGCUAAUACCGCAUAACGUCGCAAGACCAAAGAGGGGGACCUUCGGGCCUCUUGCCAUCGGAUGUGCCCAGAUGGGAUUAGCUAGUAGGUGGGGUAACGGCUCACCUAGGCGACGAUCCCUAGCUGGUCUGAGAGGAUGACCAGCCACACUGGAACUGAGACACGGUCCAUACUCCUACGGGAGGCAGCAGUGGGGAAUAUUGCACAAUGGGCGCAAGCCUGAUGCAGCCAUGCCGCGUGUAUGAAGAAGGCCUUCGGGUUGUAAAGUACUUUCAGCGGGGAGGAAGGGAGUAAAGUUAAUACCUUGGCUCAUUGACGUUACCCGCAGAAGAAGCACCGGCUAACUCCGUG
rnacentral:rRNA from 1 species